UAACAAGAGAGUUUGAUCCUGGCUCAGGAUGAACGCUAGCGGCAGGCUUAACACAUGCAAGUCGAGGGGCAGCGCGAUGUAGCAAUACAUUGGCGGCGACCGGCGGAAGGGUGCGUAACGCGUGAGCAACAUGCCCGUCACAGGGGGAUAAUCCAUGGAAACGUGGUCUAAAACCGCAUAGAUUA
rnacentral:rRNA from 1 species